rnacentral:lncRNA from 1 species
GUGGGUUUGUGCACGUGAGUGCGGUAGUCGUGGAGGCCAGAGGGUGGCAGAUCCACUAGAGCUUGAGCCACCCAGUGUGGGUGCUGGGUGCUGGGUGCUGGGUGCUGAACCCCUCUGAGCUUCGGCGGCCUCUCUCUGACUUCUGUACGAAAGGUUUCCUCUCUCAAAGAAAAGUUAACUUUGAUAAAACCGCCAGCGUUUAUUAAAACUGCACAGUAGAUCCCCAUGUCUACAACCUUGGUUGUGCAGGGCUUUGAGCAGCCACCUUCAUCUGAUCAGCUGUGUCUACUUGUGAUCGUCCCAGCUGGGGCUUGUUGAAGGCCGCCUCCCUCACAGAAAGAGGGGAGGGUCGGGACCCCUACCCAAGCAUCCAGUAACUUCUUCUUGCCAGCUAUCUGCAAUUCUGCCCUAAUGCCCCCGGGACCUGGGGGAAGGGGCCUGAGGAUAUAGGCGUGGAAGAACUAGAGAGCCGACCAGAUCCACUCAGGCUUCGGGGGUGUCAUCCACGCUGGGCACAGACCUUCCACGGUGGCUGCUUCAAGGUCACCCACGCUCCUGCCCUUCAGCCAUGCUCCGCAAGAGUCCUCUUCUAACCACUGACUGGGCAGCCUGAGCUCCUCAUCGGAAUCAUUGGUUGGACUGAUGGAAGAUUCCCACCUCCAGCCCUGAGCCCCAGAUUUUAUGUGGCAUACCAUGGAAGGGUUGGAGCCUGGAGCCUGGAGGAGACGGUGGCACCUUCUGCACCAUGCAUUUAAAAGUGAAGUGUGACUCUGCACACACAUGUGUCCACACACACACACAGGAAAGAGGAAGUUGCUUCCACCAGUUUGUCCACAUGGGGCACUUGGUUUUGGAGCCUCAUCCCUGUUCUUGGAAGAGCACAUGAAAAGAUGGUAUAGAGACCAUGACUUUGCCGUCCCUACUGAGAGAGUUGCCUAUACUCCAGAUCCAGGAGCCAGGAGCCUUGGCAGUUCCCAUCUCCGGCAACUACGCAUGAACACCAUGACCUUUCAC